GUGAGUCAAGAUGUAAGAACUCUCCGCUCCUGCUCCAGCACCACGUCUGCCUGCACACAGCCAUGUCACACCAUGAUGAUAAUGGACUAAACCACUGAAAAUAAUUCUAGAACCCUGACAACAUGGAGUUGCUCCUUAACUAAAAGAGCAGUGACAAGUGGGGGACAGAAUGUCGGGUGCCAUGACAGAGUCAACAGGAAACAAGAAAGCUGAUUAGCUAGAAGUGGUCUGGAGUGUUUGCAAAGAGGUUUGUCCACGGAUUAUGUGUUAUAUGAUGGGAUUUUCCCUUCAAUACAUCACAUCUCCAGAAAAAUCCAUGCUAUAUUGCAGACUCUGUGGAACUUCAGGAGGCUGAAGCAGGAGUUCAAGACUAGCCUUGGCUACAG
rnacentral:lncRNA from 1 species